rnacentral:rRNA from 1 species
GACGAACGCUGGCGGCGUGCUUAACACAUGCAAGUCGAACGGAAAGGCCCUGCUUUUGUGGGGUGCUCGAGUGGCGAACGGGUGAGUAACACGUGAGUAACCUGCCCUUGACUUUGGGAUAACUUCAGGAAACUGGGGCUAAUACCGGAUAGGAGCUCCUGCUGCAUGGUGGGGGUUGGAAAGUUUCGGCGGUUGGGGAUGGACUCGCGGCUUAUCAGCUUGUUGGUGGGGUAGUGGCUUACCAAGGCUUUGACGGGUAGCCGGCCUGAGAGGGUGACCGGCCACAUUGGGACUGCGAUACGGCGCAGAGUCCUACGGGAGGCAGCAGUGGGGAAUAUUGCACAAUGGGCGGAAGCCUGAUGCAGCAACGCCGCGUGCGGGAUGCCGGCCUUCGGGUUGUAAACCGCUUUCGCCUGUGACGCAGCGUGAGUGACGGUAAUGGGUAAAGAAGCACCGGCUAACUACGUG